UUUUUUUGUAGAUUUUUUCAUUUUUAUAAACAUUGUCCAUGCACAUUGGCUGAUGUACCAGACUGCACUCUUUGGGUUGACAUUUUAAACUUCCAUGUCAACCCAAUCAAAGCUUUCAAGGAUAUCAAUGAUUGAAAAAAAGUUUAACCUUUCAACUUCAGUAUCAUCGUAAUGUAACUCGCCCAUAUUGAAGGUUUUUGACUGAUUCGUGAAAACACAGAGUAAAGUUAAAGAGUAAAGUGAAGUGACCAAGUUGACGGGUUAAGAUGAAAUGAAUGAAAAGUGCUUGAGAAGAAUAGAGCUAGUCCUUAAAUGAGGUCAUUUUGUCCGAAACAUGGUCCUAAAAAUAGCAUAACUUGACCGAUAUUUGAUCAGUUCUCUUCUCUUAUUGGUUGCAAUCAAGUUAAAUCGGCCGUGAAUCUUCUCAUUCGAAGAGAACAGUCUAAAAAGCUAAAACCUGUAAGUACUGUUUACUUUGACCAGAUAACUGAAAAAACAAAGAUUAACAAACCUUUAAGCUUAACCCAAUCACUAGUAAUAACAAUGGUUUUAGUUUUUGAAAAAUAUCAUCAAUCAUCUCUAUUUACAGCUCAUGAAAGAUUGGCAAUACUUUCAAAUGGUGAUCAAAGGGGCCAAACUCUGAAUACCCGUGAAGCCAAAGAAAAGUUGAAUUUUGUAUCGCGACCAAACCAGAAUGGAUGCAAACUGGAUUAAGUUUUUAAAAGAAAAUCGUGAAAUAAAAAAUAUGCACGAGGCAAUGGAAUGGUAAGUUAAUGUAUUAAUUCGUUACAUUUCAAAAAACGAAGCCCAUCGGAAUCUCUAAUUACAUAAAAGAUCUAAUCAUCAAACUUUUUCAUGGAAAUAAACUGAUGAUUAUUGAAGAUAUGCUUGAUUUUUCUUCAAAACCACUCUUUUUUCAAGCUUAUCGGAAAUCCUGUGAUUCUAAAUCGCACUCAGUUAACUAAAAUUUUAUGCAAAAAAGGAUAAAUCUGACCAAAUAUGCUUCAAGUUUAGCUUUUCAUCGGACUGAGGAAAGGAGUAAAAUUUCAUGCUGAUGCUGAAAAUGCAAGCCGUUUUGAUGCCUUCGUGAUGCUUUCGUGUUAGCUUGUUAUUAAUAAAAAUAUUACAAAUUGCGAGAAAUGAGCGACAGAGUGAAUCAACAACUUAAGAUGCACUGCGUUACGCUGAUAUCUUGAAUUGAAUAACUCGCGCUUCCUGACUCGUCAUCCUUUGCUCUUGAUCUUGUGAGCUCAAUUUAUAUUUGAAUCUGAAAUUAAGCAUUGAUUGUCAUGUAUACAUUCAAUACGUGCUUUUAUAUACGCAUCAUCAACAUAAAAAUGGAUGAUGCAAAGCUUUGGCAAAAAUGGACAUGAAAGAGAGAAAGGAAGAGAAGGCGAAUUCGUGAAAGCUUGGAAAUUGGAAUAAGCUAAUUCCGAAAUUGUUGGCUAAACUAGAGAAGCGUAAGAUCUACCGUAAUCAGCAUUGUGCAGUGAUCAAAAUCAGCAUGACUCAAUUCAAAUGGAGUUUGGACCUGAGAUAAAUGUUUUAAUGAAAAGUAAAUAACCUUUAACUUUUGCAAGUUUUCACAUUGCUGAGUAAUUGAAUCGGGUAAUCAGUUAAUGUACUUGAUUACUCCAAAAAGACAUUUGUUACAAUUUUUGAAAUAAUGUAUUACUCACAAUUGUCAGUACACAGAAAAACAUUUUUUCGCUUAUCAAAUCAGCAAAUAUGAUCCAAUAAAUGUUCAGUGAUUCUCAGAUUAUUUUAUUAAGAUUUGAUUGCUUUAUAAAUUCAAUAUUCUAUCUCAGAUAAAUUCAUACAUGUAAAAAAUCAGCAAAUCAGG